UGGGGAAUAUUGCACAAUGGGCGCAAGCCUGAUGCAGCGACGCCGCGUGAGGGAUGACGGCCUUCGGGUUGUAAACCUCUUUCACCAGGGACGAAGCGUGAGUGACGGUACCUGGAGAAGAAGCACCGGCCAACUACGUGCCAGCAGCCGCGGUAAUACGUAGGGUGCGAGCGUUGUCCGGAAUUACUGGGCGUAAAGAGCUCGUAGGCGGUUUGUCGCGUCGUCUGUGAAAUUCUGCAACUCAAUUGCAGGCGUGCAGGCGAUACGGGCAGACUUGAGUACUACAGGGGAGACUGGAAUUCCUGGUGUAGCGGUGAAAUGCGCAGAUAUCAGGAGGAACACCGGUGGCGAAGGCGGGUCUCUGGGUAGUAACUGACGCUGAGGAGCGAAAGCGUGGGUAGCGAACAGGAUUAGAUACCCUGGUA
rnacentral:rRNA from 1 species